UACGUAGGGUGCGAGCGUUAAUCGGAAUUACUGGGCGUAAGGCGUGCGCAGGCGGUUGUGCAAGACAGAGGUGAAAUCCCCGGGCUUAACCUGGGAAUGGCCUUUGUGACUGCACGGCUAGAGUGUGUCAGAGGGAGGUAGAAUUCCACGUGUAGCAGUGAAAUGCGUAGAUAUGUGGAGGAAUACCGAUGGCGAAGGCAGCCUCCUGGGAUAACACUGACGCUCAUGCACGAAAGCGUGGGGAGCAAACAGG
rnacentral:rRNA from 1 species